rnacentral:misc_RNA from 1 species
ACGGGUGGUCAACGGUCAAAUCGUAUCAAUGUGUAACACGACUUCCUUGACCUCCCCAAAUCUCAAUUGCAUUAUUAGACAUUGAUUUAACAAUCUUAAUACUUCUUAUUCGACGAGAACGUAUACUUUCCGAGUUAAUCAUUUAUUGAAAACCAGAAGCUAUCCUUUUUUCAGUGCAUAUUACGGUGUUUACAAUUUCGAGGACGUUUUGAUUACAAUUAUUGGUCGAACUCUUACAUUUUUGCCUAAUCUUGCACAACAACUAUGGAUAGAGAUGCUGUCAGUAGGUCCUCUGCAAAGAAUCUAAGAACUAUGUUGGAUAUCCACAACGAAACGUUAGAGAAAGAAACAAUCUUUUGUACAUCGGACAACUUGGCCAAUGCUCUUUUAACAUUGUCAGAGGAACUUGAAUCUUUUGGUCUUCUUGCUUCAACACUCAACUUGAAUGACUCAUUAUCGUUGAAAUCUGUGAAAUACACUCUGAUCAAAUUAAUAAAUGCUACUUGGGAUUUGGCUCACAAGCAUAGAGUACUGAUCAAAGUAAAUGAUCAGGCUAGUGAUGUGCAACAUAGAACUGCUAAUGAUAAUUCUAGUCUAAUUAAUCAUGUGAAGCGUCUGAAAGAUGAAUUAGAGAAGAAACAGCAUCAACUCGAUGAAUCUCAAGAAAAAGAGAGAAGACUGAAAGUAAAAUUUGAAGUGCUAUCUCGAGAGCUCAAACGCGAAAAGGACGAGGUUGCAAAGCUGCGUAAACAGUUACAGUCUAAAGACAUCCAACAUACUCAUGAAGUCAAACGGCUCCAACAAAAUAGUCACAAGCUCCGCGAUCAACUGCAGAAAUCUGUUGGGACGUAUGUGCCAAGAGAUAAGGCGUUUCAAAAUAUACAGAUUGAGCACGAGCGGCAACUGAGUAUGUACAAACAGACGAUCCACCGUCUCGAAGAAAACAACAGAAAACUUUUGCUGGACAAUAAUGAUCUGAGAGAUGAACUGAGUCUUCACUCCAAUGCAAUUGAUCUACAGGCUGAGGCUUCGGGAAUUUGGAAUGAUGCUGGCAUCUAGAACUUCAAAUGUGGGUCUCAUAUAAUAUAACCCACAACGAAGUUCGGCCGCAAUCUCCGACCGUAAGCUUCACAAGGACUGAAUACUGGUAUCAAAAGUCGACCAAAUCUCAUAUUCUCCAUAUUCUAGCUUUUCCUUAACAUUCGAUUUACUAGGAAAAAUGCGAAUUGUACAUUCAGUAGGACGUAAAAUAAUGAUCGUGAGCAAAUUGUAAUAUUGAAUUGAUGUUCAUAUGUAUAUAAUCUAUUGUCUCUUAAAUGAGCUAACCUUAUGUGAAGAAAAUCAAAGUUGAUGCUUAAAAAACUAAUCUAGUGUUAUGCGUGAUCGUUAAAAUCGUAGUCUAGAUUUCGGAUGACGUCUGGAGAAAAACAGACCGUCCGAUAAUCACCCGCAUUCUCUGUCUUGUAAUUAAGCUGGUCAUAAACAGUUUGACGUCCAUAUAUUGACUAGUCAAUUGAUCUUAUAAGUUUAUCCUAAUAUUGGCUAUAAAAUAGUUGUGAUUCUAUCUCGAUUUGUUAUAAACUUAAUAAUUUAGUAUAUUGUCCUGGAGUUCGUCACGUUUUGACUGUUUUUGCUAUAUUUUGGCUUGUUUUUGCCUUCGAUUGCAGUAGUCCAGUAAACGAGUUUGAUAUUAUUAGAAUACAGUAUCCCCUGCAAAGAUUAACGAUCUAAUCAUCUCCUUUAGAUAAUAAUGUAAAUCUAAAAUAAGUUUGAACCUAAUUUACACACCAAAUAUAGGAUUACUAGUAAAUUUGCAAUUGACUAAAAAUUAUAAUUAAAGGUAUCCUUGAACCUGCAAAAUGCGUAUCAAUCAAUAAGCCUCUCCACUUUUGAUUUCUUAUAGCUUAAAGUUUAAUACAUCUAUGUUUCAUCGAAUGACACUUAAUUAAACCUAUUCCGAAAAGUUUGUAUUUGUCAAUUUGUAUAAUCAAUUUUUUGAAAGUGACCCGUAUUCUACCGGGAUCGUACACAACUUCCAUAUUCUUCAAACCUGCUCUGCAAUGCGUGAGAGAACUUUGGUGAAAGUUUCGAAUGUAUGACCUGAAGAAUGCAUCCACCGACAGGCAGAAACAAAUGUUGAUUGAAAACAGUCAGCGAAACUGAUCUCGAAGUUGCUGGAACAGAACAAUUUCAAAGACAACCUUUGCGACGAUCCUGCAAUUCGACUCGUCAGAUUGUCUCUCAAUGUCUACUCUCAUGUUAGAGGCCAACCUAACUGCAAUCUGCAUUAUACCACCAUCCUAAUGACCAGAUCUA